rnacentral:rRNA from 1 species
UACGUAGGGGGCAAGCGUUUGUCCGGAAUCAUUGGGCGUAAAGAGCGUGUAGGCGGCCAAGCAGGUCCGUUGUGAAAACUGGAGGCUUAACCUCCAGACGUCGACGGAAACCGCGCGGCUAGAGUCCGGAAGAGGAGAGUGGAAUUCCUGGUGUAGCGGUGAAAUGCGCAGAUAUCAGGAAGAACACCAAUGGCGAAGGCAGCUCUCUGGGACGGUACUGACGCUGAGACGCGAAAGCGUGGGGAGCGAACAGG